rnacentral:tRNA from 2 species
GGGCGUGUAGCUCAGUUGGUAGAGCGCUUAGCUUAUACCUAAGUGGCCCUUGGUUCGAAUCCAAGCACGCCCA